UACGUAGGGGGCUAGCGCUGUCCGGAAUCAUUGGGCGUGAAGCGCGUGUAGGCGGUCCGAUAAGUCCGCUGUGAAAGUCGAGGGCUCAACCCUCGAAUGCCGGUGGAUACUGUCGGGCUUGAGUACGGGAGAGGCGAGUGGAAUUCCUGGUGUAGCGGUGAAAUGCGCAGAUAUCAGGAGGAACACCGAUUGCGAAGGCAGCUCGCUGGAACGUUACUGACGCUGAGACGCGAAAGCGUGGGGAGCAAACAGG
rnacentral:rRNA from 1 species